GACGAACGCUGGCGGCGUGCUUAACACAUGCAAGUCGAACGAAGUGGCGAACGGGUGAGUAACGCGUAAUCAACCUGCCCUUCAGAGGGGGACAACAGUUGGAAACGACUGCUAAUACCGCAUACUGAAGGAGGGGAUUGCGUCUGAUUAGCUAGGUGGAGGGGUAACGGCCCACCAAGGCGAUGAUCAGUUGGCGGUCUGAGAGGAUGAACGGCCAAAUGGGGACUGAGACACGGCCCAGACUCCGACGGGAGGCAGGAGGGGGGAAUCUUCCGCAAUGGACGAAAGUCUGACGGAGCAACGCCGGGUGGGUGAUGACGGCCUUCGGGUUGGAUAGCUCUGUUAAGCGGGACGCGGUACCGGAAUAGAAAGCCACGGCUAACUACGUGCCAGCAGCCGCGGUAAUAC
rnacentral:rRNA from 1 species